rnacentral:misc_RNA from 1 species
AUAGAAGGAUCUUCCGCUCCAUAUAGAAGGCUUGUAACUGCACCCAUAGACCGUCCCCAUAGACCUAUGCGUGAAACUUUCAGGUUGCUUCUCAGAUGUGACACAACUACCUUGAGGUCAUCUUUCUCAUGCCAACCAAGACUAACAUAGUUGCCAUCUGACAAGCCUGAACCCGAGAAGUCAAGGGUUACCACAGUGAUAUUUGAUGAAAGAAGUAUUACAGCUGCCUCAUUCGCAUCAGCCCUACAGCCGCUGUUUCCAUGG